rfam:Arthrobacter crystallopoietes strain DSM 20117 genome assembly, contig: Ga0074718_12
UGAUCUGCGGCGGGAGAGUCCUGCCGGUACGUUCGUCAGGCGCCGUAGGAGCAACUCCUCCCCAGGAAUCUCUCAGGCCCACGUACCGCCGCGGCUAG